rnacentral:ncRNA from 1 species
CUUAUCUAGAGAGGUGGAGGGACUGGCCCAAUGAAACCCAGCAACAGUUUUAAGUUAUAUAACUUAAAAAAAUGUGCUAAUUCCUGCAGUGAAAACUGAGAGAUAAGA